CUGUUCCCGACGUUUUAACGAAAAUUGCCGAAGUAAUAUGAUUGGUUCUUAGUCGACAAUUUUACUUACUCCUUCAUUGAGAGCGUUUAAUUUGCUACAUUAGAGUUGAAUAGAUCAGCGGUUUAUUCAGAAAAAGCAUCCAUUAAUUGAAUUCCAAUUUUCGGAAGAUGAAAACCCUGAUAUUAUUAUGUUGCCUUGUGGCUGCAAGUUUUGCUUCUCCUUUUAAAUUCAAAUUUAAGGAAGGAUCCGCCAUUUAUGAGGCGAUUGCCAAAACUACAUCGAUGGUACAAAAGAGAGACACUGUAAAGAGAGAUGCCUUUGCCAUGGCUUUUAGAUGGAUUGAUACAAAUAGGGAUGGCCACAUUGAUGGCAAUGAAUUUGCCACAUUUUAUGCAAAUGCAAACAUACCUGGACUGGACUACAGCAAGAAUCGAUGGAGACAAAUAUUCACCUUAGCCAUACCUCAAAUUGACACAAACGGAAAUGAAGAGCUAGAAAUUGGAGAAUUCCGUACGUUAGCAGAACGUGGAAUGAGAGAUAUGAGAAACUAUUAGAAGCAAAAUGUGACAACGUUCCACCCGUUAUUACAGUGACAUUGACUUAAAAGUCUGAUUCCAAAUUGACAAUUUUCAGUUCUGACUUUGAACAAAAUUUGUGUUUGUUUUUCAAAAAUGCUUAACACGUCAUUUGUCCGUUUUAACGGAAGCUACACUUCCUAAAUUCAAAUUCAUUUUCAACAAUUCUUUUACACAUAAAUGUGAAAUUUGCCUUUUUAUUUUCGCGUUUCAGAAUCUAAAGCCUGCUUACCUUUUUUUUCAAAGUUGAUUAUCAUUUCCUCUAUGGUGGAUGGUUACCUCUCUGGCAAUCAUACAAUGUCUUUUUUUUAUUAUUUUUAUACUAAUAAAAUUUAAAGAGUAUUAACCAAAACGUUGAUAUUUGUUGACGGUGUCUUUAUCAAAUAAAGUACAAGUAAAUUAUAGUUUCUAAUUGUGGAAGAACUAAUAAAAUUAAACACUUG